rnacentral:rRNA from 1 species
UUCAGGAUGAACGCUAGCUACAGGCUUAACACAUGCAAGUCGAGGGGCAGCAUCAUCAAAGCUUGCUUUGAUGGAUGGCGACCGGCGCACGGGUGAGUAACACGUAUCCAACCUGCCGACAACACUGGGAUAGCCUUUCGAAAGAAAGAUUAAUACCGGAUGGCAUAGUUUUCCCGCAUGGGAUAAUUAUUAAAGAAUUUCGGUUGUCGAUGGGGAUGCGUUCCAUUAGGCAGUUGGCGGGGUAACGGCCCACCAAACCAACGAUGGAUAGGGGUUCUGAGAGGAAGGUCCCCCACAUUGGAACUGAGACACGGUCCAAACUCCUACGGGAGGCAGCAGUGAGGAAUAUUGGUCAAUGGACGAGAGUCUGAACCAGCCAAGUAGCGUGAAGGAUGACUGCCCUAUGGGUUGUAAACUUCUUUUAUACGGGAAUAAAGUGAGCCACGUGUGGCUUUUUGUAUGUACCGUAUGAAUAAGGAUCGGCUAACUCCGUGCCAGCAGCCGCGGUAAUACGGAGGAUCCGAGCGUUAUCCGGAUUUAUUGGGUUUAAAGGGAGCGUAGGCGGGUUGUUAAGUCAGUUGUGAAAGUUUGCGGCUCAACCGUAAAAUUGCAGUUGAUACUGGGAGUCUUGAGUACAGUAGAGGUGGGCGGAAUUCGUGGUGUAGCGGUGAAAUGCUUAGAUAUCACGAAGAACUCCGAUUGCGAAGGCAGCUCACUAGACUGUCACUGACACUGAUGCUCGAAAGUGUGGGUAUCAAACAGGAUUAGAUACCCUGGUAGUCCACACAGUAAACGAUGAAUACUCGCUGUUUGCGAUAUACAGUAAGCGGCCAAGCGAAAGCAUUAAGUAUUCCACCUGGGGAGUACGCCGGCAACGGUGAAACUCAAAGGAAUUGACGGGGGCCCGCACAAGCGGAGGAACAUGUGGUUUAAUUCGAUGAUACGCGAGGAACCUUACCCGGGCUUAAAUUGCAACAGAAUAUAUUGGAAACAGUAUAGCCGUAAGGCUGUUGUGAAGGUGCUGCAUGGUUGUCGUAAGCUCGUGCCGUGAGGUGUCGGCUUAAGUGCCAUAACGAGCGCAACCCUUAUCUUUAGUUACUAACAGGUUAUGCUGAGGACUCUAGAGAGACUGCCGUCGUAAGAUGUGAGGAAGGUGGGGAUGACGUCAAAUCAGCACGGCCCUUACGUCCGGGGCUACACACGUGUUACAAUGGGGGGUACAGAAGGCGGCUACCUGGUGACAGGAUGCUAAUCCCAAAAACCUCUCUCAGUUCGGAUCGAAGUCUGCAACCCGACUUCGUGAAGCUGGAUUCGCUAGUAAUCGCGCAUCAGCCAUGGCGCGGUGAAUACGUUCCCGGGCCUUGUA